AAUAAUGUGCCUGAAAAUAAUAAGGAUUAUUUUGAUAAAAUAAUUAUGUAUAAUACAUUAUUU
rnacentral:tRNA from 1 species